UGCGCAUUGUGAAAGCUGCAGCAGGGACAUGACACGGCAAGAGGAUCCCCAGAAAUUGUUGAUGAUUCCUGUUUCAAGCAUCCACCUGCGAGAGAGUACCCUCGUAGGAGUGGGACAUUGCAGGCAGAAGCAGCCAGCAGGAGAAGUGUACUGGAAAGGACGAGAAAAUUACAACAGGCUCCAUCUGUGGCAAGCUGAAGCCAGCGAACUUACUCAUGUGUCUCAUGGCCUGUGGACCGAGCCACCCUAGCUUUGGCUUUGUUCAAGCCUCCUACAAGCCACGGUUCACGACUUCACGUGGCUUGAGUACCCGUUGUAUCUAGAGCUGCCCCCUCUCGGUGCAAUAAAGCCUGGAACUAGUGUUGCAUCCACUCUCAAAGCUUCAGAAAUAGAGAAUUCCAGUGAUGCCACGGGCAAGCUUAAAUGCUCUUCUUCGUCUCACAGUCACCAGGAUAGAUCCUGAAGCAUACGACCCGUUGCAGAGUUUGUGAAGAAACACGCUCGUUAAAAGGGGAUUCGGUUAACUUGUCCAGAAGCAUGAGGGUAAGGAUGAACGUAUCCGUUUUCAGGAAAGAUGCCCUCUUCUUUUCUUUUCUUUUCUUUUUUGAGGGGAAAAGAUACCCUCUUCCAGUGUAGUGUUGUUCGACGCCGAAGAAGAGAAAGUGAUCAAUAUCGAAGAAAGGCUUGCUUCAGGAGCUCCUGUUUUCAUCCACUAAUUAGAGACUCGGCUGUUUUGGUGCCAAUGCAAUGAGUUGGGGGCGUGGUCCGUUUUGGUUUCACUGUCAACUUUUUGGUUUCUGACCUUUUCUUUUUGGGUGUGCGGUCCCUUUUUCUUUUUGUUUCGCUGUCAAUACGUGUGCAAGAAAUAACCUUAAGUCCUUGGGGCCGGUUUAGUAGCCAUGACUCCGCUGUUGUCGGUUGUUAGAAAAUGCAAGUGUAUCAGUA